rnacentral:lncRNA from 1 species
UUGGAAAUCAAGUCUAAUCUCCAAAAAAAAAAUCCACUUCAAUCCAAUUAACAAGUUGCUAAAAAUCUUAAAAAUAGUCACUAAUCCUUGAAUUCCAAUUUCUAAGACUUCAAUCCAUAAAAACCUUUAUAUACUUUGAUCUAACCAUUCAAUUGACUUCAAAACUUUUAUACAUACUAACAACUAAAAUACCAAUACAUUAUCCAAAAUUCACCUAUAUAUACACCACAAAACUCAAGAAACUCUCAAUUUUAUAAACAUAAUUUUAUUUUUCAAAAUCUAAUCCUACUAAGAAAAUUACUAACUUUGAAAAUCUUCCAAAAAUUAAAAAUUAACUCAAUUGACAUAAAACCAAUGCUAAAAAAUCUUUUUUAAGUCUACUCUCAAAUUCCACUCUCCAAUCUAAUCAAAAAUCCCAAAGUUGCCCUAGGUAUCUGGUUUUGUACUUUAGGGUCUGAUUUCAAUCUAAGUUGACAACUGGUCCUC